AUUGAACGCUGGCGGCAUGCCUUACACAUGCAAGUCGAACGGCAGCACGGGAGCAAUCCUGGUGGCGAGUGGCGAACGGGUGAGUAAUAUAUCGGAACGUGCCCAGUCGUGGGGGAUAACGUAGCGAAAGCUACGCUAAUACCGCAUACGAUCUAUGGAUGAAAGCGGGGGAUCGCAAGACCUCGCGCGAUUGGAGCGGCCGAUAUCAGAUUAGGUAGUUGGUGAGGUAAAGGCUCACCAAGCCGACGAUCUGUAGCUGGUCUGAGAGGACGACCAGCCACACUGGGACUGAGACACGGCCCAGACUCCUACGGGAGGCAGCAGUGGGGAAUUUUUGGACAAUGGGCGCAAGCCUGAUCCAGCAAUGCCGCGUGC
rnacentral:rRNA from 1 species